GAUGAACGCUGGCGGCGUGCCUAAUACAUGCAAGUCGAGCGAACAGACGAGGAGCUUGCUCCUCUGACGUUAGCGGCGGACGGGUGAGUAACACGUGGAUAACCUACCUAUAAGACUGGGAUAACUUCGGGAAACCGGAGCUAAUACCGGAUAAUAUAUUGAACCGCAUGGUUCAAUAGUGAAAGACGGUUUUGCUGUCACUUAUAGAUGGAUCCGCGCCGAAUUAGCUAGUUGGUAAGGUAACGGCUUACCAAGGCAACGAUGCGUAGCCGACCUGAGAGGGUGAUCGGCCACACGGGAACUGAGACACGGUCCAGACUCCGACGGGAGGCAGCAGUAGGGAAUCUUCCGCAAUGGGCGAAAGCCUGACGGAGCAAAGCCGCGUGAGGGAUGAAGGUCUUCGGAUCGUAAAACUCUGUUAGUAGGGAAGAACAAAUGUGUAAGUAACUAUGCACGUCUUGACGGUACCUAAUCAGAAAGCCACGGCUAACUACGUG
rnacentral:rRNA from 1 species